UAAUCUACUAGUAGACUGCAGACUUGGUACGUCUCAGAUAGGCAAUACAGGAAAAGAAUCUCUUAUCUAUUUCCUCUUCUCAUACUUGGAAGACUAUUUCUAUUCUCUCUCUCACACCUUCACUUCUUUCCUUUAUCCUGUCUUCUCUGUCGGUCCCUCCCUUCCUCCCUUUUCCUCUGCAGCUGCUACUGCCUCUGCCUCCCAUUUACUGCUGUAGUGAAUUCCUUCCUUCUUUUUCCAUUUUAAUAAUCUUCUUGAUUUUCUCAACCUCUUUAUCAUUUUUGAAGAUUUUCACUGAGAUCUUUACUGAAAUCUUGUUGGCUCUUGGAGAGUUAUUGGGAAUUUGAAGACUGCUGUUGUAAUUGGCGACCCAAAGCCAAACUCUUGAUUAUUGAAUUUUGUACAAGAUCAGCAGCUUCUUAUUGUCCAGCUUCAGGAGCAAAGAUGGCAUCUUUACAAGGGCCGGUGGUUUGCCCCGUGGUUCGUGCUAAACAAACUGGAGUUGACACUGUACCUUUUUAUACACCUUUGGGACUGGCUGCUAAAUUAGUUAGAGGUGGAUUCUUUGGGCUUCAAGUGAAUAAUAGGUUCAAUGUACCAAAUCAAACACCCCGCCAGACAAAGGUGAUCAGGUGUACCUUCAGUUCUUCAUCGAAUGGCAAUGGUAGCAAGGCAGGAAAUUUCAGUGAGAAUGAUGCAGAUUACGUAAAUUCCAGUGUGGUAGAAGCAGUUGAGGUGAGGAGUGGCCCAGAUGGUUUCAUGGUCAAGAUGAGGGAUGGUAGGCAUUUAAGGUGCGUGCAUAACAACCCCCAGAGUGGGCAUCUACCUGAUUAUGCUCCACAUCCUGCAAUUGUUCUGAAGAUGGAAGAUGGGACUGGUCUUCUUCUUCCGAUCAUUGUUUUGGAGAUGCCAAGUGUGCUCCUUAUGGCAGCUAUACGCAAUGUCCAAAUUGCUAGACCCACAAUGUACCAAGUGGUUAAGGAAAUGAUUGAUAAGAUGGGGUACACAGUGAAACUUGUUCGUGUGACUAAGAGAGUCCAUGAAGCAUAUUUUGCUCAGUUAUAUCUCUCAAAGUUGGGUGAUGAAACUGAGACUAUCAGCUUUGACCUUCGACCCUCAGAUGCAAUUAAUAUUGCUGUGAGAUGCAAGGUGCCAAUACAAGUCAACAAAUACCUGGCAUAUAGUGAUGGCAUGAGGAUUGUUGAAUCAGCAAAGCCAUCAAUGCAGGCUGUGGCUUCAGAUGGAUUUUUGUUUACAGAACUGGAUAGACCUUCUGGCCAACCAUGCAUUGAAACAAAGGAGUUUGAUCUCUUGCGCAAUAUGCUGAUUGCUGCUGUUGAGGAACGCUACCGUGAUGCAGGUAGACUUUUUGAUCACAUAGUUGUGGUACAUCAUUCUGGUUUGCAGGUUAGAUAAGAAUAUAUAGUGCAGAGUCUUGUACCUCUUCUAUCUGAUGUAUUCUGGUACUAAACUUAGUUGUAGUAAAUUUGCAACUUUUGUUGCUUUUUGUGUGUCAAUGUGAUUACCUAUUUUAGAAAACAUCAAAGCCAACUCCAGGUGAAGUAUGGAAUUUUGUUUGAUUGACAAAAGAUAGUGUCACUAGUUUGCAAUGCUUCUAAGACAAAUAAGUCAUUCGAUAAUGUUUAAUCAUUUUAAUUGAAAAAUGUUCAUGAUUGAGUUUUGUUUUCAUCCAUAAGCUUGGCUUCCCGUUGCAAAUACUACUGAAGGUAUGGAUUUCCAAAUAUUAAGCAACAGAAAGUUGCUGCAUCUUGUGCAUUUUCGUCAUGACGGAUAUCAAAAGUGAAGAAACUUUGAAGAUUUAGUUGAAAUUUCACUGUCAUACAUCACAUGUUGUCCUGGUUUUCCAAGUUAACAGCAAGAUAUUGAAUUGGUUAGUCUUGAUUUGAUUAGCUUUUGAGUUCUGAUUAUGAAUAUGCUACACUACAGCUCUGUGGAGGGAUAAGCUCACUCAGCUCCGAUCUAAGAGGAACUGGACAUAGUGAUAUUGUGGCUGAGAUGUUGCUGGAGGACGGAUUGUGUAAAUAGAAACCCAUUUGAUCGAAGUUGAUGAAGUCGAUAUUGUUGGGAAUCAUCAUCUCCACCUUCAAAUAUAUGCAUGUAUGUAGAAAGCUUGUGAAUAUAUGUAUAGGCAAACUUUCAUGGCAACGAUGAACUUUAUAAACACUGCGAUUUCUGCCUGGGUCGGAUAUUCUUGUUUCCAACUUUCUUUGAGGUUAUGCUGCUUAUCUGGCAAAUGGAUUAUCUGUCUAUUCUCUGUUC